AGCAUUAUGGCAUAAUGGUGAGGCGGCUUGGGCAAGUUGCAUUAUUUCUGGUUCGAUUCCAGCUAAUGUUA
rnacentral:tRNA from 1 species